rnacentral:rRNA from 1 species
GACGUAGGAGGCGAGCGUUGUCCGGAAUCAUUGGGCGUAAAGAGCGUGUAGGCGGCCCGGUAAGUCCGCUGUAAAAGUCAAAGGCUCAACCUUUGAAUGUCAGUGGAUACUGCCGGGCUAGAGUCCGGAAGAGGCGAGUGGAACUCCUGGUGUAGCGGUGGAAUGCGCAGAUAUCAGGAAGAACACCAACGGCGAAGGCAGCUCGCUAGGACGGUACUGACGCUGAGACGCGAAAGCGUGGGGAGCGAACAGG